AUCAACGCUGGCGGCGCGCUUAACACAUGCAAGUCGAUCGAGAAAGUGGGAGCAAUCCCAUGAGUAAGAGUGGCGUACGGGUGAGUAACACGUGGGAUAUCCUACCUCCUUGGUGGGGAAUAACCUGGGAAACCGAAGGCUAAUACCGCAUAAGCUCGGAGAGGAAAGGCCAUCAAAGGGUGACGCUGAGGAGAGGAGUCCCGCGGUCCGAUUAGCUAGUUGGUAGGGUAAGAGCCCUACCAAGGCUAGAUCGAUAGCCGGCCUGAGAGGGCACACGGCCACACUGGCACUGAGACACGGGCCAGACUCCUACGGGAGGCAGCAGUGGGGAAUCUUGCACAAUGGGGGAAACCCUGAUGCAGCGACGCCGCGUGAACGAUGAAGCCCUUCGGGGUGUAAAGCUCUUUCGCAGGGAACGAUAAUGACGGUACCUGGCAGAAGCAGCUGCGGCUAACUACGUGCCAGCAGCCGCGGUAAUACGUAGGCAGCAAACGUUGUUCGGAGUUACUGGGCGUAAAGGGUAUGUAGGCUGGUUGCUUAAGUUUGGUGUGAAAUCUCCCGGCUCAACUGGGAGGGUGCGCCGAAUACUGGCGAACUUGAGUGCGGGAGAGGAGAGUGGAAUUCCUGGUGUAGCGGUGAAUGCGUAGAUAUCAGGAAGGAACACCGGUGGUGUAGACGGCUCUCUGGACACGUAACUGAUACUGAGACUACGAAAGCGUGGGGAGCAAACAGGAUUAGAUACCCUGGUAGUCCACGCCCUAAACGAUGCAAUAUUUGGUGUAGGCAGUUCAGUCUGUCCUGUGCCGGAGCUAACGCGUUAAGUAUGCCGCCUGGGGAGUACGGUCGCAAGGCUGAAACUCAAAGGAACUGACGGGGGCCCGCACAAGCGGUGGAGCAUGUGGUUCAAUUCGACGCAACGCGAAGAACCUUACCUGGGCUCGAACGGCUUCGGAUAAGCUGUGGAAACACGGCCUUACCCCGCAAGGGGGUCCAGUCGAGGUGCUGCAUGGCUGUCGUCAGCUCGUGUCGUGAGAUGUUGGGUUAAGUCCCGCAACGAGCGCAACCCUUGUCCUGUGUUGCCACUCAGCAAGUUGGAAGCACUCUCAGGAGACCGCCAGCUGAUAAGCUGGAGGAAGGUGGGGAUGACGUCAAGUCCUCAUGGCCUUUAUGUCCAGGGCUACACACGUGCUACAAUGGGCGGUACAAAGCGCCUGCGAAACCCGCGAGGGGGAGCCAAUCGCAAAAAACCGCUCUCAGUUCGGAUUGCAGGCUGCAACUCGCCUGCGUGAAGCUGGAAUCGCUAGUAAUGGCAGUAUCAGCACUGCUGCCGUGAAUACGUUCCCGGGCCUUGUACACACCGCCCGUCACAUCACGAAAGUGGAUUGUACUAGAAGUCUGCGCAGACUACCCGCAAGGGAGGCUAGCGGUCCAAGGUGAUGAUUCAUGAUUGGGGUG
rnacentral:rRNA from 1 species